rnacentral:rRNA from 1 species
AUGCAAGUCGGACGAACUUAAUCGUUAGUUUACUAAUGAAGCGGUUAGUGGCGGACUGGUGAGUAACACGUAAGCAACCUGCCUAUUAGAGGGGAACAACAGUUAGAAAUGACUGCUAAUACCGCAUAUGCCAUAAGUAUCGCAUGAUACAAGUGGGAAAGGAGCAAUCCGCUAAUAGAUAGGCUUGCGUCUGAUUAGAUAGUUGGUGGGGUAACGGCCUACCAAGUCGACGAUCAGUAGCCGAGUUGAGAGACUCUACGGCCACAUUGGGACUGAGAUACGGCCCAGACUCCUACGGGAGGCAGCAGUCGGGAAUAUUGCGCAAUGGAGGAAACUCUGACGCAGUGACGCCGCGUGCAGGAAGAAGGUUUUCGGAUUGUAAACUGCUUUAGACAGGGAAGAAAAAGACAGUACCUGUAGAAUAAGCUCCGGCUAACUACGUGCCAGCAGCCGCGGUAAUACGUAGGGAGCAAGCGUUAUCCGGAUUUAUUGGGUGUAAAGGGUGCGUAGACGGGAAAAUAAGUUAGUUGUGAAAUCCCCAUGCUUAACAUGGGAACUGCAACUAAAACUGUUUUUCUUGAGUGCUGGAGAGGAAAGUGGAAUUCCUAGUGUAGCGGUGAAAUGCGUAGAUAUUAGGAGGAACACCAGUGGCGAAGGCGACUUUCUGGACAGUAACUGACGUUGAGGCACGAAAGUGUGGGGAGCAAACAGGAUUAGAUACCCUGGUAGUCCACACCGUAAACGAUGGAUACUAGGUGUAGGGUGUGAUAAACGCUCUGUGCCGUCGCAAACGCAGUAAGUAUCCCACCUGGGGAGUACGGCCGCAAGGUUGAAACUCAAAGGAAUUGACGGGGGCCCGCACAAGCAGUGGAGUAUGUGGUUUAAUUCGACGCAACGCGAAGAACCUUACCAGGC